GUCUCGCUCCGUCGCUCUCUCGGUCUCGCUCUCUCCUGCGAGUGCGUCGCCUCUGGAGGGAAGAGCAUGCGGUGGUGGUGCGUCAAUGGUGGCGGCGGUGAUAGUGGUGGUGGUGGUGGUGGUGCUAAUCUGAGAUUAGGGUUAGAUUGGGGUCAGAUUAGGGUUUUGCGAAUCUGCAAAAGGCUAAUGCGCUCAGAUCUGCAAAAGGGGUGAGGGUUGUGGAGAAAAAUGAAGAACUCCAUGGUUUUGCUGAAUCCAGUUCUCUGUUUUUUAUUUGUCUGUCUCCUUGAUCAAAUUCUCUGAUUUGUGUAAUUUGCAACUGUAAAUUCUCUGAUUUGUGUAAUUUGCAACUGUAAAUUCUUCUCUGAUUUGUGUAA